rnacentral:lncRNA from 1 species
CCCUCCUGUUCUGUCUUUUGUAGGUUCCCCUAACCAUCAUUUGGCGCCUCCGCUGGUCUCAGUGUCUUGCCUGGAUGUAUGACCCUGACCUUCAUCCCAGAGAGGUCAGCAUCCCCUUUUUGGGUCUUGCCUGCUGUACUUUUCCACGCAACCAACACAGGGCCGGAGAGCAGCAAGAGAAGGCCACGCAGAACCCGAGACCGCACCCUUCCCUGCCCUCCCUGUCGACACCGAGUCUCCCUCCUCCCAGGCCUCGCGGUGGUGACAACAGCUUCCAACACAGAAGACUUUGCAUGCAAAGUGAAAAAAUGUCCUUUGUAUUUCCUGUCAGAACACUGGGUAUAACAAAGCUUGAAGAAACCUGA